AACGCGAAGAACCUUACCUGGGCUCGAACGGCUUCGGACGGCUUUUGGAAACAGAGGCUUCCCCGCAAGGGGCCGGAGUCGAGGUGCUGCAUGGCUGUCGUCAGCUCGUGUCGUGAGAUGUUGGGUUAAGUCCCGCAACGAGCGCAACCCUUGUCCUGUGUUGCCACUCCGCAAGGAGGCACUCUCAGGAGACCGCCAGCGAUAAGCUGGAGGAAGGUGGGGAUGACGUCAAGUCAUCAUGGCCUUUAUGUCCAGGGCUACACACGUGCUACAAUGGGCGGUACAAAGCGCUGCCAACCCGCGAGGGGGAGCUAAUCGCAAAAAACCGUUCUCAGUUCGGAUUGCAGGCUGCAACCCGCCUGCAUGAAGCUGGAAUCGCUAGUAAUGGCGUAUCAGAACGACGCCGUGAAUACGUUCCCGGGCCUUGUACACACCGAGACGAC
rnacentral:rRNA from 1 species